rnacentral:tRNA from 1 species
GUAGAGAUGGCUCAGCGGUUAAGAGCACUGGGAGCUCUUCUAGAAGACCUGGGUUUGAUUCCCAGAACCUACA